GCGGCCGUGGCGGAACUGGCAGACGCGCACGUUUGAGGGGCGUGUGAGUAACUUCAUACGAGUUCAAGUCUCGUCGGCCGCACCA
rnacentral:tRNA from 1 species